GCUUACUGCUCUUGCUUUUGCAGUGAAGUUCUCAGUGUGCAAGAGCAUCUGGGAGACCUCUGACCCUUUCCUGGGCCUGGUGCUGGAGAUCAGCGUCUCUGAUCAGGUGAAAAAAGCUGAGACCAACAGACCCGUGUGUUCACCAGUGACAGGCCAGGUGAGUCCUGAAGGCUGUUCUGGGCCAGAGCUGCAGGGAGCUGCUGCCCCUCUGCCUGCUCUGCGAGGGCAGGUGGGCUGCAGCUUGGCAGGGAGGCAGGCACUGCACCCAAUGGACAGGUGUGAGGGAGGAUGGCUUGCAGGAAGGAUCCUGCUCAGUUAAGAGUUGCUGUGUGAGCUUGGAGGGGAUGGGAUUGCAGUAUCACCCUGUGUCCUUGGCACAGUGAUUCAGCCUGGAGGCCCAAAAAGCUGCUCGCCCUCCUGCAGCUGUCUCCUGUGCCCAGAACAGUUCAGAGCUCCUGCAACACCAGCAACACAAGUGGGGCCAAAGCAGAGCUGUCCUGGCAGAGCUCCUGGGAGAGCAAGCAGCCACCCACCUCACCCAAGCUGCUGCUGGAGCCCAUCCCCAGCCAGGAGCCCAGGGGCAGUGGGGAGAAUGCUGAGACCCUGGAGAAGGACUCCUGCAGCAGCGAUGCUGCCAGCCCAGUGCACGGCACAGCGGGGAUCUGCCCAAAGCGUCCCAGAAGGCCCAGGGUGGAACCAGCAGCUUCUGCACCUCUCAGGAAUCAGGCCGUGGCAUGGACCUCCCUACUGGCUCCAGCACCAAGAUGGCUGCACCCAAAGACUCCAAACUGGCAACAUUGAAAUCGUCCCUGUUGGCCAGUGCUGCUCUGGAGCUGAACAUCACCAUGUCACCACCACCAGCCAUGAAGCUGGUGCUUUCUGCCAAAAACGCAGCAUCCUGUGGAAGGCGAGCAGAAGUGACCAUUGCACACCACCUCAUUCACAAUUUGCCAACCACACCUACCCCAUGGACACCACCCACCCCAACUCCUUGGCCUGUUGGCAAG